GACAGUUUGGCCGAGUGGCCUAAGGCGUCAACUUAGUGCACUUGAACUGAAGGGCGCGAGAUCGAUUCUCGCAGCUGUUA